rnacentral:lncRNA from 1 species
AUAACACCGGAGCUUGGCACCAACUCUAACCAUUUCUCAAUGUAGAGCUUUGAAACUGGAUCAAGAUAGUCUUGCAUAGGGAUUGCAGCAGAACCCAGUGCCUUUGGUGAUUUUCUUAAUGAUAACUUUGAAGAAGAAUGGGACAUGAGUUCAAAAAGCAGCUCUCCAGUAGGUUCACAUUGGAAAGAUGCAACCUGUUUCUCUUUAGUCUUUGACAAAAUACUAAGUCUCCUUUUUGCUUCAAAGAAUGCAUCAGGCUGUGAUUUGGAAAAUAAAACAAAGAG